UGUCGAGAAAAGCUUCUAGGUAGAGACACAUCGCCCGUACCAAAACCGACACAGGUAGGCGGGGAGAGAAUCCUAAGGUGCGCGGGAAAACCCUCGUUAAGGAACUCGGCAAAAUGCCUCCGUAACUUCGGGAAAAGGAGGACUCAUGUAGUGUGAAGAGCAGAAGCGCUUGGAGCAUGAAUGAGUGGCACAAGAGAGGCGCAAGCGACUGUUUACCACAAACACAGGUGCCUGCUAAAGCGAAAGCUGAUGUAUAGGUGCUGACACCUGCCCGGUGCUGGAAGGUUAAGAGGAGGGGUUAGACUUCGGUCGAAGCUCUGAAUUGAAGCCCCAGUAAACGGCGGCCGUAACUAUAACGGUCCUAAGGUAGCGAAAUUCCUUGUCGGGUAAGUUCCGACCCGCACGAAAGGUGUAACGACUUGCGCACUGUCUCAACGAGGGACCCGGUGAAAUUGAAGUACCUGUGAAGAUGCAGGUUACCCGCGACUGGACAGAAAGACCCCAUGGAGCUUUACUGCAACCUAAGAUUGAACUUAGUUAAUGAA
rnacentral:rRNA from 1 species